CUCUUAGUAGUAUAUAAAUUACAUUGGUCUUGUAAUCCAAAAAUGGAGCUAGCCCUCCCAAAGAGU
rnacentral:tRNA from 1 species